UUCAGUCCUGCGAUUUACGUCAAUCAUGUUUAUUGUAUAUUUAUUAGUCGUUUGUGAAUUAUUUUUAAUAAUUUAAAAUAUCAAAAUAAUAUUUAAGUGGUUUAAUGAAGAGAAAAUUAAAAUAUAAACGAGAUCAAGAAACAAAAAAAUUACACGGUAGUUUGGAUAAAUUUACAUUUAGAACUAAUUUAUCUACUAGCGCACAAUCGCCAGCUUUGAAGAAAAUAAAGAUGGGCAAUUUGGGGCCCAAAGUUGUAAAUUGUACAGGGCCCACGAAUUGGUAAAUCAGGCCCUGGGUAGCAAGCAGGCUUACAGUAACCAAUUCAAUGACGAGGAACGCUCAAAACCAACUAUACAAUAGAAGGUAGUUCCCUGAUUAUUUUAUUGAAAGUUUUGAUACUUUAUCACUUAUUAGCUAAUUAAUUAUUUAACGAGAAUUUAACAACAUAUUUUGUGGGUACUGAGUAGACAGGUACUCCUUUAGUCCUUCCCCUU